rnacentral:Y_RNA from 1 species
UUGGCGAAUGCCGGUAAAACUACAUCACUACGAAUGAGGAGGUGCGGGUUCGAAUCCUGCCGGUGGCGAGUCAACGCCACCGUAGCUUAACUGGAAGAGCACCGUGCGGGCGACCGCGCAUCGUUUUACCAAAUUUUGUCGCCACCCG